UACAGAGGGUGCAAGCGUUGCUCGGAUUUACUGGGCGUAAAGCGUACGCAGACGGUGAGAAAGGUCGGAUGUGAAAGCCCCGGGCUCAACCCGGGAACUGCAUCCGAAACCAUCUCGCUAGAGUAUGGGAGAGGGAAGCGGAAUUCCUGGUGUAGAGGUGAAAUUCGUAGAUAUCAGGAGGAACAUCUGCGGCGAAGGCGGCUGCCUGGCCCAUUACUGACGUUCAGGUACGAAAGCGUGGGUAGCAAACAGG
rnacentral:rRNA from 1 species